GACGAACGCUGGCGGCGGGCUUAACACAUGCAAGUCGAACGGAAAGGCCCUGCUUUUGUGUGGUGCUCGAGUGGCGAACGGGUGAGUAACACGGGAGUAACCUGCCCUUUACUUGGGGAUAACUUCAGGAAACUGGGGCUAAUACCGGAUAGGAGCGCCUGCUGCAGGGGGGGGGUUGGAAAGUUUCGGCGGUUGGGGAUGGACUCGCGGCUUAUCAGCUUGUUGGUGGGGUAGUGGCUUACCAAGGCUUUGACGGGUAGCCGGCCUGAGAGGGUGACCGGCCACAAUGGGACUGAGAUACGGAGCAGACUCCUACGGGAGGCAGCAGUGGGGAAUAUUGCACAAUGGGCGGGCGCCUGAUGCAGCAACCCCGCGUGCGGGAUGACCGCCUUCGGGUUGUAAACCGCUUUAGCCUGUGACGAAGCGUGAGUGACGGUAAUGGGUAAAGAAGCACCGGCUAACUACGUG
rnacentral:rRNA from 1 species